AAAUGACANUAUUUGCAAUUCAAGGUGUCGUUCAAAAGUUGGAGAAAUCAAGGUUAAAGAUUGCAGACAUCUGACCCUUUGGGCAUGGACUGCAAUUCUUGCAUUUAUUGAGAACGUUGUACGACUGUCAAAGGCAAAGGCAAUCUUAGAUAAUUUUAUGUUAUGUCCGGGUUAAUCAGGGUUCUCAGUAACAAAUCGAAGCCAUUGAAAGUGUAAUUUUAUGUCAUCGGCUUAAUCACAUGUAAUGCUGAUGUUGAAUUCUAUGCAUAAUGUUAUUUGUUUCUCAGCA